AGAGACCGGCGCACGGGUGCGUAACGCGUAUGCAAUCUACCUUUUACAGAGGGAUAGCCCAGAGAAAUUUGGAUUAAUACCUCAUAGCAUAGCAACUUCGCAUGAAGUCACUAUUAAAGUCACAACGGUAAAAGAUGAGCAUGCGUCCCAUUAGCUAGUUGGUAAGGUAACGGCUUACCAAGGCUACGAUGGGUAGGGGUCCUGAGAGGGAGAUCCCCCACACUGGUACUGAGACACGGACCAGACUCCUACGGGAGGCAGCAGUGAGGAAUAUUGGACAAUGGGCGCAAGCCUGAUCCAGCCAUGCCGCGUGCAGGAUGACGGUCCUAUGGAUUGUAAACUGCUUUUAUACAGGAAGAAACCCUGGUUCGUGAACCAGCUUGACGGUACUGUAAGAAUAAGGAUCGGCUAACUCCGUGCCAGCAGCCGCGGUAAUACGGAGGAUCCAAGCGUUAUCCGGAAUCAUUGGGUUUAAAGGGUCCGUAGGCGGUUUAGUAAGUCAGUGGUGAAAGCCCAUCGCUCAACGGUGGAACGGCCAUUGAUACUGCUAAACUUGAAUUAUUAGGAAGUAACUAGAAUAUGUAGUGUAGCGGUGAAAUGCUUAGAGAUUACAUGGAAUACCAAUUGCGAAGGCAGGUUACUACUAAUAUAUUGACGCUGAUGGACGAAAGCGUGGGUAGCGAACAGGAUUAGAUACCCUGGUAGUCCACGCCGUAAACGAUGGAUACUAGCUGUUGGGAGCAAUCUCAGUGGCUA
rnacentral:rRNA from 1 species